CGAUGUGUUCUGUCCCCUUCUCCUACCUCCUGCUGUCCCCACUCCUGAAAAUUGGCACCUUGGAGCCUCAUCGGCCUCUGUGAAGCUCUGGAAAUUGGAGCAGGAGCAUGUGAAACCAUUGGCAGCCAAACUCUCAUAAGCCCGAUCAUCCUCCUGUACACUCUUGAAAAAUGGGAUUAAUAUUUGAGGAAACAGACCUGGUAGUCAUGAGGGACUCCUCUCUCUCACGUGCUCCAUCUCCAUCAGUGAUCAAUGUUUUCUGAUAGGACCUUCUCUCCUUCCCCACCCUGCCUGCCUCUAUCACCUGGGUGGCUAUAGCAGCAUCUUAACGUGCCCCCCAACUCCCAGCAGCCCUCCUACCCCACAGGACAAGGCCAGGCUGCGGGGAGCCAUGAGUGAGGAAGCAGGGAAGAAGCAGAAUCGCUGGGCUAAGUUGGUGCAGCUCAUGUGUGCUGGUCUCUGGCUCCCUGAAUUGGGUUCAGCUUCUCUGAUUCCUGGGCCAGGUGUGUGUCUGGCUCUGGGAGGAAGGGCACCAGCUUCUCCUGCAGAUCAGGCCCAUCAUCGAAGGUGGAGACUGAGAGGUGAUGGGAGACCAGGGUUUCCCAGUGACUUGUUCUUGAUUUCCAGAACUCCCCUGCUAGGACUCCCGCAACUUGAGAGUGGUGAGGUCCCACCCAGAGCGGGGAUGUUCUUCAGAAGGAGCCCCAGGAGCCCUUUCAAAGCCGUCCUCCAGCGGCAGAGGAAAGCUGCAGCCAGCAGAAUCCCGACUUUCACCAGAGGAUGGCACUGUGGUCGUUUCCAAGAGAGAGCGGAGCCAUUUGAAAAAGCAAUUUCCAAAUGGCAUUAACAGCUGCACUUCAAACCCUGCAGGGAACAUUAGAAAAUGUUAACCCCCAAAUGGUGGGGAAACAGGGACUGGAGGAGGCCAGGCCUGGAGAAAGGUGGCAGCUGGGAGAAGGGCCAAAACGGGAUGACCGCCAAGCUGCUGGGGGCUGGCGUCCUCCCAGUGAAGGCUGAGGCCUCUGCUUACCCAGGGCUUUCCAGGGCUUUCAGAGCUGAUCAGCAGCCGUAGGCGGUGGCACUUAACCACGGGAAAAGGCAGGGGCCACCGGGGAGCAGUAAGGGGGAGCGUUUUCCUGCUUUCCUCCUUCUGUGCCAACUUUGUGUCAGUUACUCAAAGUGUUAAUUUCAGCCCCCUUGAGGGCUGGCCCAAGUCUUGUUCACCUUUCAGUUUUCCAUCACGCCUGGCGUGUAAUAGACACUCCAUAAAUGGCUGUCAGAUAAGUAAAUGAUUGAUUGAUUGAAUGAGUGAAUCUUGGAUUUGGGGAAAGAAUACAGUGAGGCUCUUCAAGAGAAAAAAGAAAAGAAAG
rnacentral:lncRNA from 1 species